CCUGGGCCACAGACCAGCUGCCUCCAGCAGGGGACAGAGAAGGAGGACUCAGGACUCAACUAGGGCCAUGGGGGAACCACCUCCGCCGCAACCCCGAAAAAAACCCACCCGGGGACAACUUCACGGCUUUCAACAGUCACAAUGGUGGACAAACAAGGGAUUUAAGUUACAGCGGCCAGCUCGGCGCUCGCACUCCGCUGGGCUCCGGCUCCCUAAAAAACACACCCCACACCGAGCACCGGCGGGGGCUCACAAAGUCAGGCCCUGACGCGGCAGUGGGAAAACCCAACUUGGUUUUGUUUGUUUGUUUGUUUGUUUCUUCCCCAACCUCCCAAGGCCUUCCCCGGCAGCAUCCAAGCCCAGCCUCGAGCUGAGCCAUAAACACGCCUGCUCCUCCCCCUUCCACGGUUCGGCAACCCCCCGCCCCCCCACCUUCCUGGACCUGGAGGAGAAAGAAGCACCUCGACCCUCACCCGCAGCCCCUCCUCGGCCCUCCCCCGGCCUCCCGCAACCCUCACAGACACCUUGAGAUAAACACCCACUAAUGAUUUUA